rnacentral:siRNA from 1 species
UUAAAAGAUAACGCAGGUGUCC